rnacentral:rRNA from 1 species
UGGGGAAUUUUUCGCAAUGGGGGAAACCCUGACGAAGCAACGCCGCGUGGAGGAUGAAGGCCUUCGGGUCGUAAACUCCUGUCGACCGGGAAGAAUGCACCCGACCUAAUACGUCGAAGUGUUGACUGUACCGGUGGAGGAAGCCACGGCUAACUCUGUGCCAGCAGCCGCGGUAAUACAGAGGUGGCAAGCGUUGUUCGGAAUUACUGGGCGUAAAGGGCGCGUAGGCGGCCCGCCAAGUCCCGUGUGAAAGCCCCCGGCUCAACCGGGGAACGGCGCGGGAAACUAGCAGGCUUGAGUUCGGGAGAGGGAAGCGGAAUUCCGGGUGUAGCGGUGAAAUGCGCAGAUAUCCGGAGGAACACCGGUGGCGAAGGCGGCUUCCUGGACCGACACUGACGCUGAGGCGCGAAAGCUAGGGGAGCAAACGGG